UGUGAUCGAAGCGUUCUCGAUUAUGGUUGCGUACACUAUGCAGCUGUGGUGAUUCAGGGUGUGGAAUGUGACGUACCUAGUGGACCCUUUUUGGUAAGCAGAACUGCUGCUGAGGGAUGAACCAAAUGCCAGGUUAAGGUUUCUGACAUCGCUGCUCAUCAGACUUCAUAAAAGGUGUUGGUUGAUAUAGACAGCAGGACUUUCGCACUGGAAGUUGGCACCCGACAAGGAGUGUGUAUUAACUCACCUGCCAAAUCAACUAACCCAGAAAAUGAAUGGCAUUGGAGCAUCGGGCCCAUAAGCCAUCGACCGAAGGAGGAAGAGGGGCCGAACAGCUCCAGAUGGCAUGCCCCGACGAGUAAGAGGUGGUACUGAAGCCCAGGGUGUUGGCCCAGAUGGAGCCGCCGCAGGGG
rnacentral:ncRNA from 1 species